rnacentral:rRNA from 1 species
ACGAAGGGAGCUAGCGUUGUUCGGAAUUACUGGGCGUAAAGGGCGCGUAGGCGGCUUUACAAGUUAGAUGUUAAAGACCUGGGCUUAACCUGGGGGGUGCGUUUAAUACUGUAGAGCUAGAGGAUGAGAGAGGAAAAUGGAAUUCUAGGUGUAGAGGUGAAAUUCGUAGAUAUCUAGAGGAACACCAGUGGCGAAGGCGAUUUUCUGGCUCAUUACUGACGCUGAGGCGCGAAAGCGUGGGGAGCAAACAG